AAAUUGAAGAGUUUGAUCAUGGCUCAGAUUGAACGCUGGCGGCAGGCCUAACACAUGCAAGUCGAGCGGAAACGAGUUAUCUGAACCUUCGGGGGACGAUAACGGCGUCGAGCGGCGGACGGGUGAGUAAUGCCUAGGAAAUUGCCCUGAUGUGGGGGAUAACCAUUGGAAACGAUGGCUAAUACCGCAUGAUGCCUACGGGCCAAAGAGGGGGACCUUCGGGCCUCUCGCGUCAGGAUAUGCCUAGGUGGGAUUAGCUAGUUGGUGAGGUAAGGGCUCACCAAGGCGACGAUCCCUAGCUGGUCUGAGAGGAUGAUC
rnacentral:rRNA from 1 species